CAGUAACAAUUUUUCCUAUAUAUAUACACAUAUAUAUUCCAUUCUAUUCCUUGUCCUGUUCUCAUUAUCCAGAUUUCUUCUGUUUAUUUGAUCCAGUUAUUGGAUUGAAGAACAAUGAAGGUGAGGGUAUUAGUGAUGCUAACCUUGCUAGCAACCCUAUUCUGGGCUGCUGUGAUUACCGGGGGUCGAGUCAACUUUGUGGAGGCGGAUGGCAACAGAUACGAAGAGGAGAAGAUGAUGAGAGUCGGGGCAGGGGACGUGGAUGGCACCACGGACAACCAUCACAACAUACCGAGGGAGUACUAUCAUCACGAGAAGGGUGGAAGUUCAAGCACCGGUGGAGAUGAUGGCAAUGGCGGUUGAAUCAUCGCUGGCGCUAGUCUCCCUGCCACAUGUCAUAUAAAAUUGUAUUAUUGAUAAACAUACAUACAUAUAUAUAUUGAUGUAUAGUGUAAUGUAUGUUGUGUGUAUGUGGUGUGAUUGAGCUAGCGUGUUGUGGCAUGGCGAUCAGAUCGAUCCAUCCCUGAAAUUUCGAAUAAAUGCUCGUAUAUAUGUAAUGGAGCCAAACUAUGCCUGCAUGUGUGUAUCUAUCUAAGGCUGAGCUCAGUAUAUGCCGAUUAAAAUUGUUAUUUUAACUU